rnacentral:rRNA from 1 species
GAUGAACGCUGGCGGCGUGCCUAAUACAUGCAAGUCGAACGAAACUUCUUUAUCACCGAGUGCUUGCACUCACCGAUAAAGAGUUGAGUGGCGAACGGGUGAGUAACACGUGGGCAACCUGCCCGAAAGAGGGGGAUAACACUUGGAAACAGGUGCUAAUACCGCAUAACCAUGAACACUGCAUGGUGUUUAUGUGAAAGGUGGUUUCGGCUACCGCUUUCGGAUGGGCCCGCGGCGCAUUAGCUAGUUGGUGGGGUAAAGGCUUACCAAGGUAAUGAUGCGUAGCCGAACUGAGAGGUUGAUCGGCCACGUUGGGACUGAGACACGGCCCAAACUCCUACGGGAGGCAGCGGUAGGGAAUCUUCCACAAUGGGCGAAAGCCUGAUGGAGCAACGCCGCGUGGGUGAAGAAGGUCUUCGGAUCGUAAAACCCUGUAGUCAGAGAAGAAAGUGCAUGAGAGUAACUGUUCAUGUUUCGACGGUAUCUGACCAGAAAGCCACGGCUAACUACGUGCCAGCCGCCGCCGUAAGAC